ACAAUAACUUAUUUCACCAGUGAAUUGCUGAACUUCCACUAGAUAGGAAAAGAGUAUUUUACAAUAACUUUGAAGUGCGUCUGUGUUGUUUUUCCGACAAUGGCAGAUGGUGACUGUGGGACGUCCCGCUGUUGGAAUCCUUUACAGUUAAAUACAGUCACACUUUACACCGUUUAGCUGACAGCAUUUCUACCCUGUUUUAUCCAGCUUCUAGCUAACACUAGGCUAACGUAACCUCCUGUCAAGUUUAGUGUUAAAUAGUGGCACAGAUAAGAAAAAGUUCAGUUCAGUUCAUAGCUUUGAAUCUUAAAAAAAGCGUCUUCAGAUUUGAUUUAAAACUAUCAAUUGUAUUACAUGAUUUGAUAUGGGGUGGGAGGGAAUUCCAGAGUUUGGGGGCUAUUGCAGAGAAGGCUCGGUCCCCUCUGGUUUUUAGGCGUGUCCGGGAGAUGACAAGGAGUUGUUGGGUUGUAGACCUGAGUGACCUGGCGGCAGAGUAAGUAGACAGGCGAUCGGAAAUAUACGGAGGGGCUUGACCAUGGAGUGCUUUAAAAACACCAGGUUUCGAUACUCAACCCUACUCAGAACACUAUUUACUCCAUUAGCUUUAGGCCAGGAUUUAAAGUAAGUAAACAUUAGUUUGUUGCUAUAUUAAUGUUCACAAUGUCGAGUACAGAACUCUUUACGAGGCUUCUUAAAGGAAUACACCACCGUUUGUUGAAAUAGAGUUAUUCACCGUCUCCUCUGUAUUUAUAUAGGUGGGCAAACGCAUUUUUGUCUCAGUGCACGCAUUGUCUUAGUCCGGCGGUGCCGCUGCUAGCUUAGCUUAGCGCAAUGAAUGUAGUAAUCCUUUGUAUGUUAAUUUUGUUUUAGUCUCGUCAUCGUCUUAGUCAUGGAAAAAAAGGUCGUUGACGAACAUAUUUAGUCUCGUCUCGUCUGACGAAAUGAACACUGGUUUGUUUUUGUGUUUUGUGUUUUACGUUCCUGACUGUACCCCGUUCCGGUUGCUGAGCAACGAGUGCAAGGCGGAAAAUUCCAGGAUCACCAGAACCUCCUCUCAACCGGAUCCUCGUCAGCAAUCUACACACCUGUUCCUGAUCAUCAUCACUACCACCAUCAUCCAGGCCCUGCCAGAUCGUCCUCUAUAUUUAUAUAGUUGCUGGGAAACGAGUGAAAGGCGGAAAAUUCCAGGAUCACCAGAACCUCCUCUCAACCGGAUCCUCGUCAGCCAUUUACACACCUGUCCCUGAUCUUCAUCACUACCACCAUCAUCCAGGCCCUGCCGGAUCGUUAGCCACACUAUACCUUCACCCUGGAAUUCCCUUCCCCCCCGGUCUGGUAACCAGAACCAUCAACUUCGUCGUUCCAUCAAGACUCACCUCCCAACACAUUCGUCACCACUAUCAGCAUUCCAUCACCCGGACUCACCCGGACUCACCUGUCUACACGCCUGGCAUUACCUUUUCAAAUAUAUUUUGGUCAUCAAUAAAUACUGACCUUUUUUUACCACCA